UACGGGGGGGGGUAAGCGUUGUUCGGAAUUACUGGGCGUAAAGGGCUCGUAGGCGGCCAACUAAGUCAUACGUGAAAUCCCUCAGCUUAACUGGGGAACUGCGUGUGAUACUGGAUGGCUUGGAUUUGGGAGAGGGAUGCGGAAUUCCAGGUGUAGCGGUGAAAUGCGUAGAUAAUCUGGAGGAACACCGGUGGCGAAGGCGGCAUCCUGGACCAAUAUUGACGCUGAGGAGCGAAAGCUAGGGGAGCAAACGGGG
rnacentral:rRNA from 1 species